rnacentral:rRNA from 1 species
CGGGUGAGUAACACGUGGAUAACCUACCUAUAAGACUGGGAUAACUUCGGGAAACCGGAGCUAAUACCGGAUAAUAUUUUGAACCGCAUGGUUCAAAAGUGAAGACGGUCUUGCUGUCACUUAUAGAUGGAUCCGCGCUGCAUUAGCUAGUUGGUAAGGUAACGGCUUACCAAGGCAACGAUGCAUAGCCGACCUGAGAGGGUGAUCGGCCACACUGGAACUGAGACACGGUCCAG